GGCGGUAGACAACCGCCUUCUCUAAUGCAGCUAGUGGAGAAUUUUAUACACUAAAGGUCACAAGCCCUUGUAAAUGCAGAGUGGAGA
rnacentral:ribozyme from 1 species